AUCCAGCUGAUGAGUCUCAAAUAGAACGAAGCGGCACGCUUCCUGGAU
rnacentral:hammerhead_ribozyme from 1 species